GGUGAGAUGGCCGAGCGGUCUAAGGCGCCAGACUAAGGUUCCUGUACCACAGAUGUACCACAGAGCUCUUCGCUCUUCUUAUCUGGUCUCUUCGGGGGCGGGAGUUCGAAUCUCCCUCUCAUCA